rnacentral:rRNA from 1 species
CAAUAGCGUCUAUUAAAGUUGUUGCAGUUAAAAAGCUCGUAGUUGGAUUUCUGGUUGAAGCGACCGGUCGGGCGUUGAUUCGUCUGCACUGGAGUCGGUUUUGGCCAUCCUCUAGGAAAGUGCGUCUGGUAUUAAGUUAUCGGGCGUAUGAUCCUGGUCUUUUACUGUGAAAAAAUUAGAGUGUUUAAAGCAGGCCUUCGCCUUGAAUACAUUAGCAUGGAAUAAUAAGAUAGGACUUUGGUCUAUUUUGUUGGUUUGCAGACCGAAGUAAUGAUUAAUAGGGAUAGUUGGGGGUAUUUAUAUUCCGAUGUCAGAGGUGAAAUUCUUAGAUUUUCGGAAGAUAAACUUAUGCGAAAGCAUUUACCAAGGAUGUUUUCAUUAA